GCACCGUAAUCAUAAAAGAUAAGACGUCGUCAGUCUGCCAUUCGGCAGGUAGGCUAAAGCAUCUCACCUUCAGUCGUAUUUUCGAUUCUGUAAGAUGUCGACGUGUUUCGGGGAGUGAACGGUUCCCUAAAAAAAUAUCGGCGAAGCACGGUCGAAAAACGGUUUGGGUCGCUAUGGGCGAUUUGAAGAACAGCAACAACGCUUUGAUCAACUCCGAAAUAAGAUUAUCCGGAAGGAGGGUCAGGCCAGAGAGGUUGUCUUUCGAGCAACGGAGGAAUUUUUUUAGGAUGGCGAGCGAAUCUCCCACGGAUCUCAACGCUAAUGGAAAUGAACCUACGAUUCAGACUAUUAUAAAAAACCCAAGGACGAAUGUAACCACAACUUCGUUGCAGACCAACUCUCAAAGCAGUACUACGACGACCAGAGUUAGCAAAUCGACGACCAGCUCGACGUCGACGAGUCAGCGUCGGCACGUCACCUCCGAUCUGAAGGCGUCUAACAUGAAAUCCGAUUUGGUCGAAUUGAAGAACAACCUCAACGACAUGAAGAACAGCCUGCCGAACACGCUCAUCAAGUUCAAGAGUUCGCUGGAGAACCUGGUGGACGCAGACGACGAGAUGAGCAACAUGACGUACAGUAGUCCGAUUGUGACGUUUCCUGAAGAUAACACGCCGUUGCCUUCCGAAAUGGGGUCGCCCACCAACAUCGUCGAUUCGCUCAAGUUCGAGCAGAAAACGAUGAAUAACUUCAAGAAAACUAUGGUGAUGAAAGACGGUAUGAGCGCCGAGAAGGAAAGCGCCAAGGUGGCGGAAUCGAAGAAAAUUCAAGCUGGCGAUCUGUCUUACGAGGAAAAUAGUGCAGCAGCCGCAACAAGGGCUAGAUUGGAAAUAGACGGAGUUUCAGCUGAAAAGAGUCAGCUAACAGCGAAGGAAGCGAGGUUACUGAAGGCGGGCGAGCUUAGUCAACAGGAAUCGAAAAACAUGGCCCAAACCAAUAUGAAACUCACGACGGACAAAUUCAGUAGCGAAAGGACAGCCAUCGAAUCCCAGCAACAGCGUCAAACGGUCACUACUAGUGGUAUAUAUAAUCAGGAAAAACAUAGUUCCAGUUCUAGUCACGUAUACACCUCCACUAAGGCUUCCAGUAACACUGCUGCUAUGAUGCAAUCUACAAGACAGUUCCACCUCAUGAACGGUACACCAGAAGAAUCGAUACUGAACACUUCCCUGGACGAUCUAGAUGGACUAUCCGCCCAAUCCGACGUUCACGACAUCGAAAGGGCGAAACACAAAUACUCCACAUACCUAGACGAAUCGAUACGCUGUUUGCAGAAAUUGGAUCAGAGCAAAGAUGCGCCUUUGAUCCUCAACAAAAUCAACGACGUGAUGUGUAAAGCCUGGGCUGUACCAACCUACGGCCACGAGCUGGGUUACGCGCUAUGCAACGCUCUCAGGAAUAGCGGAGGUCUAGAUUUAAUCAUGCAGAAUUGUACCAAAUCCGACAAGGAUCUUCAGUUUUCCAGCGCCAAGCUCUUGGAGCAAUGCCUGACAGCGGAGAACAGAGCACACGUUGUCGAGCACGGAUUGGAUAAGGUAAUUAACGUCGCCUGUGUUUGUACUAAAAACUCCAACGUGGACCAUUCGCGAGUUGGAACCGGCAUUCUUGAACACCUGUUCAAACAUAGCGAAGAAACUUGCAGCGACGUGGUUGGUCUAGGAGGCUUGGACGCACUCCUCUUCGAGUGCAGAAAGACAGACAUUGAAACAUUGAGGCACUGCGCCGGAGCUUUGGCUAAUCUUAGUUUGUACGGUGGGGCCGAAAAUCAGGAGGCCAUGAUAAAGCGCCAGGUGCCGAUGUGGCUUUUCCCUCUGGCAUUCCACAACGACGACAAUAUAAAAUACUACGCUUGCUUGGCCAUUACGGUGCUUGUGGCCAACCCUGAGAUAGAAGCUCAAGUGCUAUCGUCUGGCACCCUCAACUUGGUAGAACCUUUCGUCACCUCUCAUAACCCUUCAGAGUUCGCAAAGUCUAACCUCGCCCAUGCUCACGGGCAAAGCAAAACUUGGUUGAAGAAUUUGGUACCGGUGCUCAGUUCGAAACGAGAAGAGGCGAGGAACCUGGCCGCCUUCCACUUCUGCAUGGAAGCGGGUAUCAAGAAGCAGCAAGGAAACACCAAUAUGUUUUCGGAAAUCGGUGCCGUCGAGUCGCUGAAGAAAGUCGCGAGUUGUCCGAACGCUGUGGCUUCCAAGUACGCGGCGCAAGCUCUGCGUUUGAUCGGGGAGGAGGUACCGCACAAGCUCAGCCAGCAAGUGCCGCUCUGGUCUGCCGAAGACGUCGAAGAGUGGGUGAAACAGAUUGGGUUUCCUGAAAUCGCGUCAAGUUUUGUCGAUAGUAGGGUUGACGGGGAUCUUUUACUGCAACUGACUGAAGAUAAUCUUAGGGACGACAUUGGACUAACCAAUGGAAUCAAACGAAAGAGGUUCACCAGGGAACUGCAGCAGCUCAAAAAAAUGGCAGACUACACCUCAAGAGACACCGCUCACAUCAACAACUUCCUCCAACAACUCGGCCCCGAGUUCUCAAUAUACACCUACAGUUUCCUGAACGCGGGAGUAGAGAAAAAAGACUACCUUCGAAACAUCUCCGAAGACCAGCUCUUGAGCGAAGUCGGUAUCAAGAACUCCAUCCACAGAUACAGGAUCAUGGAGGGAAUAAGGCAGCUGGAAAACGGCCUCGUAAAUGGACUGAACGAGGAAAACAUGGACAAGUCUCUGGACGUCUUCGUCAGCUACAGGCGGUCGAACGGAUCACAGCUAGCCAGUUUGCUCAAGGUCCAUCUACAGCUGAGAGGGUUCAGCGUUUUCAUAGACGUCGAGAGGCUAGAGGCCGGGAAAUUCGACAACAACCUUUUGCAGAGCAUUCAGAAGGCGAAACACUUUUUGCUGGUGCUUACGCCGAACGCUUUGGACAGGUGUGUGGACGACAUUGAUAGAAAAGACUGGGUGCACAGGGAAAUUUGUGCAGCUCUAUCAGCGAACUGCAACAUAAUUCCGAUCAUAGACAACUUUACUUUUCCCGAAACAGAAACCUUGCCUGAAGACAUGCGACAAGUAUGUCAUUUCAACGCCGUGCGGUGGAUCCAUGACUAUCAAGACGCCUGCGUGGACAAACUCGAGAGGUUCAUGCGAGGCGAAGCGAAUCCACGGUGCGGAGACAAUCUGUUGAACCGCGUAGGCCUCAAGGGCGACAUCACUCCGGGUACCCCCUCGAAUCCUAGCCUAGUUAGGCAACCCCCGAAUUACCAGCGAAUGCACAGCAACGACUCUGGCAGCGGGAAAGGCUCCGACAAAGACGUCAACGGGAAUUCGGGGUUGACAAGAGAUUGACUAGAUGGCCCCUAUGCCUCGGUUACACCUACUCCACUGCCAAGUUCCUUCCUCCAGAUUCUGUAAGGCGAACAGUCCGUCCCGCAACUGGAUCAUGAACUCGAACAGGCUCGGGGGUCUCCCGCCGCAGUACCCGUACCCCCGGAGGGGUUCGAACACGCCCGUCUCAUCGCUGGCGCUGGCCAGCCACCCUCCGGCCCCGCCCAACAGAUCUCGUAGCCUCGACGGCCUCCUGGACGCCGGCGAGGCCAUCCAAGCAGCUUCAGAAGCAACUAAGAGUGAACAAGUUCCGUCCCCGCAGACCGCGACCAAGAGUUGCGACAACAUCGACAAGGAUUUUCGUGACGAUUAUGAGACUGAGAGUUAUUUAAGUAGUAAGAGUCGCGUUUCGGACGACAGCAGUGAACUCGACAAAUGUUCCGUUUAUAGCAGUUCGAGCGAAUCGAAACGCAAGAGGAACUUCAUGGACAGGUGCGUCAACAAAGUUCGGUCUAUGAUCAAGAAGUAAACGCCUGCAUGUGCGAAGAAGGGUAGGUAUAGAAUUGUGUGAAAGACUAGGGGUUUUCUUCGGUCAGGUUGAAGUCCACUUUCACUGAAAGGCUUGUGUCUUAUGUCGAAUGUUUCCUUUAAUUCUAGAAUGAUAUCAGUCUUCAGGUUUUAAUCUCUGUUGAUACGUGAAUUUACUGGAUACAUCGAUUUUUCAAACACUAUAACAGCUUCAACUAGGAUGUAAAAUCUAGAGAAUAUUUCUCUAAUACAAACUUUUGACAACAGUUGUCUGUAGACAGUUCUCUCCUAAAAAAUCAGAAAUUCUAGUCAACUUGCACUUGGACUUGUGGAAUUGCCAUGUUUUAUAAUGGAAAUUGAUUAGUGGGUAGUUAUUUGUUUGAAGGGAAGGUUUUAAUGGGAAUUUACAAAUGCAAAUAGAUACUUGUAUUAUCAACAGAAGAAAAGUAUUUUUGGAGAAACAAACUUGAAUAGUUCUGGUAGAUAUUAGAAAUUGGUUAAUUUCAGAUGUUCUCAUCUUCCAAGCAGUUAUGAAGGUUCGUAAAGAAUCAUUUGAAGAACUGAAGAAAGUCUUACAGUAACACAAUGUGAAACUUAUCAAACAGACAAAAGGAACAAGUUCAUCACACUUUUACUUCUAAUAUCCCCUAGUGUUUUCACCCAGUUUCUCCUACCUGAGUGUCGAUUUCAUCCCUAAUAUGACAUUAGAUUACCGAUUCCCUAUUGAACGGAUCGAUAAGUGAUAUUGUUAUUUAAUUUAUUUUCGUAUAUGGCAACUAAAUUACUUAGUACAAAACUAUUGUGCUUUCCUAUUGAAUUUGUAAAUAUUGUGAACUGUGUGAUUGUCGAGCAGCUUCAUAGAAUGUAUCAUGGCCUAUUUUUAGACCGAUUUUGAAGUAUUCAUAAGUGCUGUCAAAGUGAUCCUUCGUUUGACAUUACUUGUUUUCGAUUUUAACGUUUUUUAACAUGCGUAAUUUUAUUCUACCUGAGCUUGCUUACGUCUCUUGUGAGCAAGGCCCUGAGGUAUUGUAUAAUAUUGUGGAGCACCAUUUUUUCGGUUAAUUUUAUUGUAACUAUUCCGAAUGGUGCUCGUAAUUCUGCUUUAACAUUUAUUAUUAGCAAGUAUUUUAUAAGUAAAUCAUUGUUUUUUAUUCAUGUUAUAUUUAAAAAUAUAUUUUAUUAGGAUUA
rnacentral:misc_RNA from 1 species